GGGGUGGAUGAUUGGAUUGAUAUGCACA
rnacentral:piRNA from 1 species